UGGCAGAAUGUACUUGGAAUCAAUACAAAUCGUGAGAAAGAAGGAAAUAAAGAUCUUAAUCAUUUUGCAUUGGCUUUGAAUCUGAUUUCCGACCUCCAGGUGGACCCAAUAAAAUCGUAUGCCCCGAAAAUCUUGCAAAACUGACAAAAGAAAACGAAACGUGACAUGUCAAGAGACGGCGCCCCCAGCUCUUCCUUUUAGUGCUUUUGGACCAGGUGAUGUCACUACACGUCUUGCUGGAGACUUUCCCAGACCUUCAAGGAGGGAGAGGAAAACUUCUUCGAACAACAGUUAGGGGAGGGGAGAGAAAGUUGGACAAGGAGAACACCAGGACUAUUGCUUUCCUCCCGCAACUAAACCUCAAGGAUUGCCGUUGAGAGACUGUGGAUUCCAGCAAGAUUGCGCGCACAUCGUACCAUCUGCGCUUUGGGAGAUAAUCGUUGGAUUCAUGUGGUCUUAACCUGAAGGAACUAUCGAUUACCUUAGGUUGGAACAGAGGGAGGUCAUCAUGUGGCCGCUGCUGCUGCUGUUUCCUGCCUGCUUGAGCUGCUUGAGUGGCCUGGUGUCCGCUGAGGAUGUGCGAUGCCCCUCUCUACAGGUGGAGGCCUGGAAGUUUCCGCAGACCCCCCGGGACCUCAUCACAGGUUUUAAUCUGGUGCGCCGCUUCUCUCUGGUAAAGAACGCCGAGGUGAAGAAGAUCCGCAACCCGCGAGGACCCCUCAUCAUGCGCCUGGGCAAGGUGUCUCUCACACAACCCACCGAGUAAGACAUCCUCUCUUUAUCUCUCUACCUCUCUCUGACUUUAUCACUCUACCUCUCUCUGACUUUAUCACUCUACCUCUCUCUCUCCAUCUCUUUUGAUCUUUUUUAUGUCUGUAUGUCUGACUGCCUGUCUGUCUGUUUCUCUGUUGAUCUAUUUUCUGUCUGUCUGCCUCAAUGAUCUAUUUCCUGUCUGUCUGUCUGCCCUUCCUUCCUUCCAUCCAUCCAUCCAUCCAUCAUUCAUAUGCCUCUUCAUCUAUCUAUUUCCCCUACCUGUUUUGUUCUCACCUCUGCCCUCAAACCUCCCUGUCUCUUAAUUUAUUCAGAGGGACCUCUCUCUCAACUUUCAACUCCCUACAGUGCCUG
ensembl:lncRNA